rnacentral:rRNA from 1 species
ACCCUUUAAUGUUUGAUGUUCUAACGUGGACCCGUAAUCCGGGUUGCGGACAGUGUCUGGUGGGUAGUUUGACUGGGGCGGUCUCCUCCUAAAGAGUAACGGAGGAGCACGAAGGUUGGCUAAUCCUGGUCGGACAUCAGGAGGUUAGUGCAAUGGCAUAAGCCAGCUUGACUGCGAGCGUGACGGCGCGAGCAGGUGCGAAAGCAGGUCAUAGUGAUCCGGUGGUUCUGAAUGGAAGGGCCAUCGCUCAACGGAUAAAAGGUACUCCGGGGAUAACAGGCUGAUACCGCCCAAGAGUUCAUAUCGACGGCGGUGUUUGGCACCUCGAUGUCGGCUCAUCACAUCCUGGGGCUGAAGUAGGUCCCAAGGGUAUGGCUGUUCGCCAUUUAAAGUGGUACGCGAGCUGGGUUUAGAACGUCGUGAGACAGUUCGGUCCCUAUCUGCCGUGGGCGCUGGAGAACUGAGGGGGGCUGCUCCUAGUACGAGAGGACCGGAGUGGACGCAUCACUGGUGUUCGGGUUGUCAUGCCAAUGGCACUGCCCGGUAGCUAAAUGCGGAAGAGAUAAGUGCUGAAAGCAUCUAAGCACGAAACUUGCCCCGAGAUGAGUUCUCCCUGAGA